rnacentral:rRNA from 1 species
ACGGGUGAGUAACGCGUGGGCAACCUGCCCUAUACAGGGGGAUAGCAGCUGGAAACGGCUGGUAAGACCGCAUAAGUCGGUUAAAUCGCAUGAUUUGAUCGGGAAAUGAGCAAUCAGGUAUAGGAUGGGCCCGCGUCCGAUUAGCCAGUUGGCAGGGUAAAAGCCUACCAAAGCGACGAUCGGUAGCCGGACUGAGAGGUCGGACGGCCACAUUGGGACUGAGACACGGCCCAAACUCCUACGGGAGGCAGCAGUGGGGGAUAUUGCACAAUGGAGGAAACUCUGAUGCAGCGACGCCGCGUGAGUGAAGAAGUAUUUCGGUAUGUAAAGCUCUAUCAGCAGGGAAGAUGAUGACGGUACCUGACUAAGAAGCCCCGGCUAACUACGUGCCAGCAGCCGCGGUAAUACGUAGGGGGCAAGCGUUAUCCGGAUUUACUGGGUGUAAAGGGAGCGCAGGCGGUUUUGCAAGUUGAGAGUGGAAGCAGGGGGCUCAACCCCCUGACUGCUCCCAAAACUGUAAAACUUGAGUAUGGGAGAGGCAGGCGGAAUUCCUAGUGUAGCGGUGAAAUGCUUAGAUAUUAGGAAGAACACCGGUGGCGAAGGCGGCCUGCUGGACCAAAACUGACGCUGAGGCUCGAAAGCGUGGGUAGCAAACAGGAUUAGAUACCCU